CGUGUAGGCGGGAAGGAAAGUCAGAUGUGAAAUCCCUGGGCUCAACCCAGGAACUGCAUUUGAAACUCCCUUUCUUGAGUGUCGGAGAGGAAAGCGGAAUUCCUGGUGUAGAGGUGAAAUUCGUAGAUAUCAGGAGGAACACCGGUGGCGAAGGCGGCUUUCUGGACGACAACUGACGCUGAGACGCGAAAGCGUGGGGAGCAAACAGGAUUAGAUACCCUGGUAGUCCACGCUGUAAACGAUGAACACUAGGUGUCGUGGGUAUUGACCCCCGCGGUGCCGCAGCUAACGCAUUAAGUGUUCCGCCUGGGAAGUACGGUCGCAAGACUAAA
rnacentral:rRNA from 1 species